rnacentral:rRNA from 1 species
CAAUAGCGUAUAUUUAAGUUGUUGCAGUUAAAAAGCUCGUAGUUGGAUUUCGGAUGGGACUUGCCGGUCCGUCGUUUCGAUGUGCACUGGCCAGUCCUAUCUUGUUGUCGGGGACUAGCUCCUGGGCUUCACUGUCCGGGACUAGGAGCUGACGAGGUUACUUUGAGUAAAUUAGAGUGUUCAAAGCAAGCCUACACUCUGAAUACAUUAGCAUGGAAUAACACGAUAGGACUCUGGCUUAUCUUGUUGGUCUGUGAGACCAGAGUAAUGAUUAAGAGGGACAGUCGGGGGCAUUCGUAUUUCAUUGUCAGAGGUGAAAUUCUUGGAUUUAUGAAAGACGAACUUCUGCGAAAGCAUUUGUCAAGGAUGUUUUCAUUAA